rnacentral:rRNA from 1 species
GAAUAUUUGACAAUGGGGGCAACCCUGAUCCAGCGAUACCGCGCGUGUGAAGAAGGUCUUCGGAUUGUAAAGCACUUUAAGGUGGGAGGAAGGGCAGUACGUUAAUACCUUGCUGUUUUCACGUUACCGCCAGAAGAUGCACCGGCUCACUCCGUGCCAGCAGCCGCGGUAAUACGAAGGGUGCAAGCGUUAAUCGGAAUUAGUGGGCGUAAAGGGGGCGUUGGUGGUUUGUUACGUUGGAAGUGACAGCCCCGGGCUCAAGCUGGGAACUGCUUUCAAAGCUGCCAAGCUAGAGUAUGGCAGAGGGUGGUGGAAUUUCCUGUGUAGCGGUGUAAUGCGUAGAUAUAGGGAGGAACACCAGUGGCGAAGGCGACCACCUGGGCUAAUGCUGACACUGAGGUGCGAAAGCGUGGGGAGCAAAC